UAGCCAGACUCCUACGGGAGGCAGCAGUGGGGAAUAUUGCACAAUGGGGGAAACCCUGAUGCAGCGACGCCGCGUGAGUGAAGAAGUAUUUCGGUAUGUAAAGCUCUAUCAGCAGGGAAGAAAAUGACGGUACCUGAUUAAGAAGCCCCGGCUAACUACGUGCCAGCAGCCGCGGUAAUACGUAGGGGGCAAGCGUUAUCCGGAUUUACUGGGUGUAAAGGGAGCGCAGGCGGCGCGCCAAGUCUGGUGUGAAACCCCGGGGCUCAACCCCGGGACUGCAUUGGAAACUGGCGUGCUGGAGUGUCGGAGGGGCAGGCGGAAUUCCUGGUGUAGCGGUGAAAUGCGUAGAUAUCAGGAGGAACACCGGUGGCGAAGGCGGCCUGCUGGACGACAACUGACGCUGAGGCUCGAAAGCGUGGGGAGCAAACAGGAUUAGAUACCCUUGUAAA
rnacentral:rRNA from 1 species